UUAUGUCAGAAGGCGGAGCUUAACACAGAAACACAUUAGUUCAGUGAUCAGCAUCACAUACAGCAUCACUCAGGCAAGCAGCAGCUACCAUCAUGUUCACUUGUGUCCUUAUAUUGCUGACUUUAACAGAAGGUAACAGAGCUAAAGAGGUCAUCACUCCAUACAGUGAUGCAGCAUUUGCCACUGAGACCGAGAGUGUGAAACUCUCUUGUAACUACAGCGGUUCUGUUAAUAGUCUUCACUGGUAUCGACAAUAUGCAGGUUCACCACCACAGUUCCUCAUACUGGAAUCCUAUGGAACAGUUACUCCCGCUAAUCCUCCAGUUCCUGGAAUAUCCAUCAGUCACAGAAAAGAAGACAAACAUGUGGAUCUGAUCAUCUCCUCUGCUGCAGUAUCAGACUCUGCUCUGUAUUACUGUGCUCUGAGGCCCACAGUCACAGGAAACACAAGAUCACUGUACAAAAACCUGACUGAUGUUAGUCUUACAGUCAGAUGUUGUCAAAAACAACACAUCUCCAUACAGGUAACAGUUUGAAAAUAAAUUUGAAUUAUUGUAUUUUAAUUAUUGUAUGAGAGUAUUUUGAAGAACAUUGAUGGAAUAACAAACUAUAAUCUGUGUGCGUCAUCAUGUUUGAAGAAAUAUAAAUAAGGUCAGCAUUUAUCAUCCAUCAUCUUUUUCAGAUUCACAAAUGAUUUAUUCUUGUUAGACUUGUGGACGUUGUGAAGAAAUGUAAUAAAUGUUUGUCACAUGACCACUGGGGGGUGCUGUGUGUGUACAUUAAACAUUUCAGAGAGGACAACCAACUGUAUCUGUAAUGAAUUCACAUGUGAAAGAAACAACAGAAGACGGUCCUUUUGCCUUCUGAAUAUAUCUUGAUUAAGUGUCGUGAAAAUAAAUAAUGCCACAUUGCUAAUAAUCCUAAUGGUCUAAACAGGCUUCCUUAGGUGACACAAACUAUACAUGUUUCUCAAAAUUUGUGAAAUUUACUGAAAUCAAUCAUUUUGUGACAGAUUUUAAUCGGGGGUCUAAUGCUAUUUCUUGCAUUCUGACUUAUUUACACUUAUUUACACUAUUUCUGUGCCUAAAAUACUCUUCAGAUUGCUCACAAACUUUGGACAGUUUUUUUUUUUUUUUUUUUCAGAGUAUGGCCCUUUAUUAUGUAAUAAAGGGUGGAAUUCCUUGUACGGGCACUUCCCCUGGAAAAGCGUGCACACACAUGCCCAUCAACACACUUCGUUCGGCUUAACGGAAGUCGUCGGCAGCCCUGCACAGGACUUGCUCGAGAAAGAUUUGUCACUUUGUUUUUAGACCACGAAAUCAACAAUGUCACCAAAGAAGUGUGUUUUUGGUUGUGACGGAAGAUAACCUUGCUUCCCAAAGAACCCAG